UACGUAGGGGGCAAGCGUUGUCCGGAUUUAUUGGGCGUAAAGGGUGCGUAGGCGGGUCUUUAAGUCAGGGGUGAAAUCCUGGAGCUCAACUCCAGAACUGCCUUUGAUACUGAGGAUCUUGAGUUCGGGAGAGGUGAGUGGAACUGCGAGUGUAGAGGUGAAAUUCGUAGAUAUUCGCAAGAACACCAGUGGCGAAGGCGGCUCACUGGCCCGAUACUGACGCUGAGGCACGAAAGCGUGGGGAGCAAACAGG
rnacentral:rRNA from 1 species